rnacentral:rRNA from 1 species
AUUGAACGCUGGCGGCAUGCCUUACACAUGCAAGUCGAACGGUAACGCGGGGCAACCUGGCGACGAGUGGCGAACGGGUGAGUAAUGUAUCGGAACGUGCCCAGUUGUGGGGGAUAACUGCUCGAAAGAGCAGCUAAUACCGCAUACGACCUGAGGGUGAAAGCGGGGGAUCGCAAGACCUCGCGCAAUUGGAGCGGCCGAUAUCAGAUUAGGUAGUUGGUGGGGUAAAGGCCCACCAAGCCAACCAUCUGUCGCUGGUCUGAGAGGACGACCAGCCACACUGGGACUGAGACACGGCCCAGACUCCUACGGGAGGCAGCAGUGGGGAAUUUUGGACAAUGGACGCAAGUCUGAUUCAGCCAUGCCGCGUGCGGGAAGAAGGCCUUCGGGUUGUAAACCGCUUUUGUCAGGGAAGAAAAGGGUGACUCUAAUACAGUUGCCUCAUGACGGUACCUGAAGAAUAAGCACCGGCUAACUACGUGCCAGCCGCCGCAGUAACAC